UACAGAGGUGGCAAGCGUUGUUCGGAAUUACUGGGCGUAAAGGGCGCGUAGGCGGUUCGUUAAGUCCUGUGUGAAAUCCCCCGGCUCAACUGGGGAACUGCACAGGAAACUAGCGGGCUUGAGUUCGGGAGAGGGAAGCGGAAUUCCGGGUGUAGCGGUGAAAUGCGUAGAUAUCCGGAGGAACACCGGUGGCGAAGGCGGCUCCUGGACCGACACUGACGGCUGAGGCGCGAAAGCUAGGGGAGCAAACGGG
rnacentral:rRNA from 1 species